GAAUGGAGAAUAUAUUAAUUGCAGCAAAUGAACCACUGGUUAUAGGCCUCUUGUACACACUUUCGAGGCCACUGAUAAGCUGCUCGUUUCAGUCCAUUAUAUCAGGUGUCUUAGACCGUGAAAGUAACUAAUAAGUUUUAAAUACGAAAUGUGUAAUGAAUCGCUUAGCAAUAAAACUAACUUAGGUAUCACGUCAUAUGAAAAAAUCACAUGGUUUUGUGAUGGAAAUUUCUAAAAUCAUAAUGUACAAUUACCAUUAUAACGCCAUGUUAAAACAUUAUGGUGGAAUAUCGAGCUCAUGUAUACAAGUACAGAUUCACUGGUAUACUAGAUUCAAUCAAUCAAACAGAUUUUUAAAAAGACUUGAAGAAUAAUUCAAACUUGCUUUAACUGAUGGACAUCAAAGUUCUACCCUUUAAACAUUUAAAUAUUAAAAAGACAAUAUUAUUUGAUGAAUGAUAUGACAUACAUUUUUAUAGCACUCAGCUAAAUUAUAUGUUAAUUCAAAAAAACUAAAUAAAUACUUAGUAUCUAAGUCUCAAUCACUAAUACUAAUGAAUAUUAUUAUUGGCAUUUAAAAAAAAUAAAUUUACAAAUUAGGUAUGUUUUCAUGAAUUAAUGAUAGGUUUUUUAAGAGGAUGCUACACCCGCAUGUGAUGUCUCCGUCUUACUAAUGAACAACAUAGCAAAAACUGUUUCGCGCGGGGAAAGAAUGGAGAAAGUUACAGUCAUAACUACAAAACAAAAUUUUCACCACAUCAAAGAAGAACUUUGGCUGUGCAAUAUCGUUUUAUUUUUUUGAUAUCACUUAUACGAAAAAGUUGUUAUUGUUUCAAAAUCCAUUAUUAUUUUUGUUUUUCAAACCUUAAUAACUUUUUGAAGUUCUGAUAUCGAAAAAUUAAAAAUGAUAUUGCACAGGCAAAAUUCUCUUUUUGUGUGGCGAAAAUUUUGUUUCCUAGUUAACCAACUAUUAGCUAACUAUUAUGAUUGUAGCCUUCUCGGUUCUUUCCCAUGCAAAACAUUUUUUGCUAUGUUGUACAUUUGUAAGACAGACAACACAUGUGGGUGUGACUUCCUCUUAAUUAUACAUUUUUAAGGCAAAUAUGAAUCUUUGGUACAUUGUGUCCCUUUUUAUGUUAUUGUUAUUUUAUUGUACACUAAAUUAUGUAAUUACUAAUUACUAAUUACUUAACAUAUCUACUGACUAAAUGUUUUAUUUAUUACAUUUUUUACUUUUUGUGAACUCAACAUCACCAUUACAAAAUAAAAGCUAAUGCUUCUAGAUUAUAUAUAACCA